UACGAAGGGGGGCUAGCGUUGUUCGGAAUUACUGGGCGUAAAGCGUGCGCAGGCGGUUUCUCAAGUCAGGGGUGAAAGCCCGGAGCUCAACUCCGGAAUUGCCUUUGAAACUGUGAAGCUAGAGUGCGGGAGAGGUGAGUGGAAUUCCCAGUGUAGAGGUGAAAUUCGUAGAUAUUGGGAAGAACACCGGUGGCGAAGGCGGCUCACUGGCCCGUUUCUGACGCUCAUGCACGACAGCGUGGGGAUCAAACAGG
rnacentral:rRNA from 1 species